rnacentral:rRNA from 1 species
UACAGAGGUCCCGAGCGUUGUUCGGAUUCACUGGGCGUAAAGGGGGCGUAGGUGGCGAGGUAAGUCGGAUGUGAAAGCUCGGAGCUCAACUCCGAAAUGGCAUUGGAAACUACCUUGCUCGAGGGUUGGAGGGGGGACUGGAAUACUUGGUGUAGCAGUGAAAUGCGUAGAUAUCAAGUGGAACACCAGUGGCGAAGGCGAGUCCCUGGACAACUCCUGACACUGAGGCACGAAAGCUAGGGGAGCAAACAGG